rnacentral:rRNA from 1 species
CCUACGGGUGGCAGCAGUGAGGAAUAUUGGUCAAUGGACGAGAGUCUGAACCAGCCAAGUAGCGUGAAGGAUGACUGCCCUAUGGGUUGUAAACUUCUUUUAUAUGGGAAUAAAAUGUUCCACGUGUGGGAUUUUGUAUGUACCAUAUGAAUAAGGAUCGGCUAACUCCGUGCCAGCAGCCGCGGUAAUACGGAGGAUCCGAGCGUUAUCCGGAUUUAUUGGGUUUAAAGGGAGCGUAGGUGGAUUGUUAAGUCAGUUGUGAAAGUUUGCGGCUCAACCGUAAAAUUGCAGUUGAAACUGGCAGUCUUGAGUACAGUAGAGGUGAGCGGAAUUCGUGGUGUAGCGGUGAAAUGCUUAGAUAUCACGAAGAACUCCGGUUGCGAAGGCAGUUCACUGGACUGCAACUGACACUGAGGCUCGAAAGUGUGGGUAUCAAACAGGAUUAGAUACCCUUGUAGUC